CACUCGACUCUGUGUCAGCUCUGUCUGGAGGAACAGGGCACUUCCAGUAAUGGUGUACAGCAGUCUGGAGGUCUGCCAUGAAGAUCUGUGUCAGGAAAAACUCUUCAUGCAUACCUAAGUUAGAGGGGCUUUUUUAAAUUCAGUUUUCAACUUGGGGUUUUAAAAGAAAAGCUGCAUCUUUGCCCGCUGUUUUACAACAGAACAGUGCUGGGAAAAGUCUAACCUACAAUAUUUUUCUUGCACAUCCAUGGAAAACAUUACUGAAGGUGUAGAUGAUCUAUUAAAGAAUACAAGUGCUCAUUCAUUGCAGUGGAGUAGAAGAUUGGAACUCUGUAGCAUCUAGCAGGAGCUCCUGAUAAGCCUUGACUGAACCAACUGAGCAGUGAUGUGAAGCAUCCCCCGACUAUAGCAGGAGUUCUUGCAUGCAAAGAUAUAAGAAUGUCUCAGACUGGAAAUGGAACAUCACCUGCCCAGCCAAGGAUCCAGAGUGGAGAGAGAGAAUCAAGAGACAUCCUAGGGACCACACAGGCCUGGUGCCCUGCAUGGCUCAAAAACAUGUGCCCAUUCACUCAAUUUUCCUCCUGAACCAUGUUGAUCUUCCUGAACAAUGUCUUCUGGAAGUGUGCAAGAGGCAUCUGGAUGUG